GACGAACGCUGGCGGCGUGCCUAAUGCAUGCAAGUCGAACGCAGAGUGCUUGCACUCUGAGUGGCGCACGGCUGAGGAUCACGUGGGUACCUGCCCUCUCGUGGGGGAUAACAGCGCGAAAGCGGUGCUAAGCCCGCGUACGCUCGCCUUUGGCGAGGAAAACGUGCAAACGUGCGGGAGGAGGGGCCUGCGGCCCAUCAGGUAGUCGGCGGGGUAACGGCCCACCGAGCCGAUGACGGGUAGCUGGUCUGUGAGGACAGACAGCCAGACUGGGACUGAGACACGGCCCAGACUCCUACGGGAGGCAGCAGCAAGGAAUUUUCCUCAAUGGGCGCAAGCCUGAGGGAGCAACGCCGCGUGGAGGACGACGGCCUUCGGGUUGUAAACUCCUUUUCGGAGGGAAGAGAUGGACGGUACCUCCGGAAUCAGCCCCGGCUAACUCUGUGCCAGCCGCCGCGGUAAGAC
rnacentral:rRNA from 1 species